GCGUGGCUGGCUCAGUCUAUAGAGCAUGCGACUCUUGAUCUCAGGGUCAUGAGUUCAAGCCCCAUGUUGGGCA
rnacentral:tRNA from 1 species